rnacentral:misc_RNA from 1 species
GGAAGGAUCAUUAACACUGUUUCAUCACAGUUUUAAACUCAACACUCGUGAACAGGUUGUUGCUCUCGCAGCACAAUCUCCCUCUCCCCUAUUUUUUUAUUAAAACCCCAAACACUUCACUUUAUCUUCCGCAAGGAAAUGAACUGAACAAAUACAAACAACGAAACGAAAUACGCCCUCAAAAAGCGUGCUUUGUACUAGUUAAUGAAAUGCUGAACAACUCUUAACAACGGAUAUCUUGGUUCUCGCACCGAUGAAGAACGCAGCGAAAUGCGAUACGUAAUGCGAAUUGCAGAAUUCAGUGAAUCAUCAAAUUUUUGAACGCAAAUGGCACUCUCACGUCAGUGAGAGUACGCCUCUCUGAGUAUCGGUUUUCAUCUCGUCUCUCGCAGACGGAAAAUGAGCUGUUUUGCUUCUUACGAGGCACAUCGCUUGAAAAACCACUAGUUUUGAUCGAUAACAAAAACCACUCUAGCUCAACUUUUUGCUGGGGAUGUUAAAAGAUAGCGUUAAGCUUUUACUUGCUUGACUCACCAACAUUUUUUGAUGUCCAUUCCAAACUUGCAAAUAAAUCGCAGAAAUUGUGGCUCGAACCCAAAACUAUAAAAAAACCGAAAAAUUUUAAAACAACGAAGAUCUCAGAUGAAGCGAGACUACCCGCUGGACUUAAGCAUAUUAUUAAGCGGAGGAAAAGAAACUAACAAGGAUUCCCCCAGUAACGGCGAGUGAAGCGGGAAAAGCUCAAAAUGAUAAUCGGGCGGUCAAGCGACCGUUUCGAAUUGUAGCCUAGAGAUUCAUGGUCAGGAUGCAACCUGGGUAUAAGUCCCUUGGAAUGGGGCGUCAUAGAGGGUGAGAAUCCCGUCUUAGACUCAGGACCUGCUCUGUACGACAUGAAUUCAAAGAGUCGUGUUGCUUGGGAGUGCAGCACAAAAUGGGUGGUAAAUUUCAUCUAAAGCUAAAUACAAGCGAGAGACCGAUAGCGAACAAGUACCGUGAGGGAAAGAUGAAAAGAACUUUGAAAAGAGAGUUAAUAGUACUUGAAAUUGUUAAGAGGGAAGCACUGGAAACCAGUCACUUGCCUGGAGUUGCUACUUGUUUGCGCCUUGGUCGGACAGAGCGACGCGAGUUAUAAGCCGCUGUCGUGAGUUCUUAGGUCAAGGUGCAGGCGCACCGCGGCUCCUGAUUGCAGAUCAGCAUCGAUUCCGUGCGUGGGAGAUCGCCAUGGCUCAGGUAAGGUCAAGGGUGCUUGCAUCCGCGGCUGUACGUAUAGGGCAUGUGGUGUUACCACGCAAUUUAGGAAUCGAGGUUUAGCCAAACGUUAAAGCGCCCCGCUUGCGGGACGGUUGCCGCGCGUCCGGUUGUGACGAGUGUCGAGGACAGCACUGCUGUGCAGGCUUCUGAACGACCGCCGCGUGUGGACAACUAGACGCGUUUCUCGUGAUGCUGAUGAAAUGGUUUUCAAUGACCCGUCUUGAAACACGGACCAAGGAGUCUAACAUAUAUGCGAGUAUUUGGGUGAGUAAAACCCUGAUGCGCAAUGAAAGUAAAGAGUUGCCCUGGUGCACUUGAGGUAGGAACCGCGGUUUGAAAUGCAGACAACGCGGGGCACUAUCGACCGAUCGUCACUUGUGAUAGAUUUGAGUAAGAGCAUAUCUGUUGGGACCCGAAAGAUGGUGAUCUAUGCCUGAACAGGGCGAAGCCAGGGGAAACUCUGGUGGAGGCUCGUAGCGAUACUGACGUGCAAAUCGUUCGUCUGAUUUGGGUAUAGGGGCGAAAGACUAAUCGAACCAUCUAGUAGCUGGUUCCCUC